UACGUAGGGACCUAGCGUUGUCCGGAAUCAUUGGGCGUAAAGCGCGCGUAGGCGGCCCGGUAAGUCCGUUGUAAAAGUCGAAGGCUCAACCUUCGAAAGCCGAUGGAUACUGCCGGGCUAGAGUACGGAAGAGGCGAGUAGAAUUCCUGGUGUAGCGGUGGAAUGCGCAGAUAUCAGGAGGAAUACCCAUAGCGAAGGCAGCUCGCUGGGACGUUACUGACGCUGAGGCGCGAAAGCGUGGGGGAGCGAACAGG
rnacentral:rRNA from 1 species